AAUUAAUGAGAUACUUAAAUAAUACUACAAAAAUGUUGCUCCUUUCCUGUGACUAUAUGCCGUAGACAGUAACCUUAGGAAUUUUCGGCAGAACAUACAGCCGAAAAUAUUAGAAGAGGAAUUUGGGAAGGUUUUAGGGGCCAUGACCCUCGUAGUGGUCAUGUCCUAUGUUCCGGCGACCAGAGCCCUCAAAAGGGUUUGAUGGGAAAUGCGCCAGAAAUUAUUUCCAACUAUAGAAUAACCGUAUGUAUUGGUCACAUUAGUUAGUUAGACUAAUUAGUUACCAUACAUCAUGUGACUCUCGAAAGGCCACUGGAAAUGUUGGUUUUCUGAUGGCUUAACAGCGUUACUGGAAGUCGCUAGAACUGUAUUUUUUUCUAGUAGUGAAAGGAUUAAUUUACUUACUCUGCCGUUGAUUACAAGCCAACAGUUUUUGUUGGACUUGUGUUGACAGAUUUGUGAGAGGGUGAAAACCUUUUGAUUUUCCAUGGUUGUAAAUGAGAUUUGAACUUUGAGGAGCAAUAAUAAUAAUAAUAAUGUUAGUA
rnacentral:lncRNA from 1 species